rnacentral:rRNA from 1 species
UACGGAGGGGGGCUAGCGUUGUUCGGAAUUACUGGGCGUAAAGCGCACGUAGGCGGCUUUGUAAGUUAGAGGUGAAAGCCCAGGGCUCAACCCUGGAAUUGCCUUUAAGACUGCAUCGCUUGAACAUCGGAGAGGUAAGUGGAAUUCCGAGUGUAGAGGUGAAAUUCGUAGAUAUUCGGAAGAACACCAGUGGCGAAAGGCGACUUACUGGACGAUUGUUGACGCUGAGGUGCGAAAGCGUGGGGAGCAAACAGGAUAGAUACCGU